GAUGAACGCUAGCUACAGGCUUAACACAUGCAAGUCGAGGGGUAACGAGAGGAAAGCUUGCUUUCCUUGUAGACGACCGGCGCACGGGUGAGUAACGCGUAUCCAACCUGCCCCCAACUAGGGAAUAACCUUGCGAAAGUAAGACUAAUACCCUAUAAUUUCCUUAAAUGUCAUCUGACGAGGAAUAAAGAUUUAUCGGCUGUGGAUGGUGAUGCGUCUGAUUAGCUUGUUGGCGGGGUAACGGCCCACCAAGGCAACGAUCAGUAAGGGUUCUGAUAGGAAGGUCCCCCACAUUGGAACGGAGACACGGUCCAAACUCCUACGGGAGGCAGCAGUGAGGAAUAUUGGUCAAUGGGCGGAAGCCUGAACCAGCCAAGUAGCGUGCAGGAUGACGUCCCUAUUGGUUGUAAACUGCUUUUAUACAGGAAUAAAGUUAGCCACGUGUGGUUAUUUGUAGGUACUGUAUGAAUAAGGACCGGCUAAUUCCGUUCCAGCAGCCGCGGUAA
rnacentral:rRNA from 1 species